rnacentral:rRNA from 1 species
UAACUCAGGGAAACUUGUGCUAAUACCGAAUGUGCCCCCCGAUUCAUUUUGGGGUGGGAAAGAUUUAUCGCCUUUAGAGCGGCCCGCGUCUGAUUAGCUAGUUGGUGAGGUAAAGGCUCACCAAGGCGACGAUCAGUAGCUGGUCUGAGAGGAUGAUCAGCCACAUUGGGACUGAGACACGGCCCAAACUCCUACGGGAGGCAGCAGUGGGGAAUCUUGCGCAAUGGGCGAAAGCCUGACGCAGCCAUGCCGCGUGAAUGAUGAAGGUCUUAGGAUUGUAAAAUUCUUUCACCGGGGACGAUAAUGACGGUACCCGGAGAAGAAGCCCCGGCUAACUUCGUGCCAGCAGCCGCGGUAAUACGAAGGGGGCUAGCGUUGCUCGGAAUUACUGGGCGUAAAGGGAGCGUAGGCGGACAUUUAAGUCAGGGGUGAAAUCCCGGGGCUCAACCUCGGAAUUGCCUUUGAUACUGGGUGUCUUGAGUAUGAGAGAGGUGUGUGGAACUCCGAGUGUAGAGGUGAAAUUCGUAGAUAUUCGGAAGAACACCAGUGGCGAAGGCGACACACUGGCUCAUUACUGACGCUGAGGCUCGAAAGCGUGGGGAGCAAACAGGAUUAGAUACCCUGGUAGUCCACGCCGUAAA